UCGGGAAUUUUGGGCAAUGGGCGAAAGCCUGACCCAGCAACGCCGCGUGAGGGAUGAAGUAUUUCGGUAUGUAAACCUCGAAAGAAUGGGAAGAAUAAAUGACGGUACCAUUUAUAAGCUCCGGCUAACUACGUGCCAGCAGCCGCGGUAAUACGUAGGGAGCAAGCGUUGUUCGGAUUUACUGGGCGUAAAGGGCGCGUAGGCGGCGCGGUAAGUCACUUGUGAAAUCUCUGAGCUUAACUCAGAACGGCCAAGUGAUACUGCUGUGCUAGAGUGCGGAAGAGGCAACCGGAAUUCUUGGUGUAGCGGUGAAAUGCGUAGAUAUCAAGAGGAACACCUGAGGCGAAGGCGGGUUGCUGGGCCAACACUGACGCUGAUGCGCGAAAGCCAGGGGAGCAAAC
rnacentral:rRNA from 1 species